rnacentral:piRNA from 1 species
UGACAGACACUUCCUGUUUUGGGGCUAAU